AACGAACGCUGGCGGCAUGCCUAACACAUGCAAGUCGAACGAGACCUUCGGGUCUAGUGGCGCACGGGUGCGUAACGCGUGGGAACCUGCCCUUAGGUUCGGAAUAACUCCCCGAAAGGGGUGCUAAUACCGGAUAAUGUCUUCAGACCAAAGAUUUAUCGCCUUUGGAUGGGCCCGCGUUGGAUUAGCUAGUUGGUAGGGUAAAAGCCUACCAAGGCGACGAUCCAUAGCUGGUCUGAGAGGAUGAUCAGCCACACUGGGACUGAGACACGGCCCAGACUCCUACGGGAGGCAGCAGUGGGGAAUAUUGGACAAUGGGCGAAAGCCUGAUUCAGCAAUGCCGCGUGAGUGAUGAAGGCCUUAGGGUUGUAAAGCUCUUUUACCCGGGAUGAUAAUGACAGUACCGGGAGAAUAAGCUCCGGCUAACUCCGUG
rnacentral:rRNA from 1 species